GACGAACGCUGGCGGCGUGCUUAACACAUGCAAGUCGAACGGAAAGGCCCUGCUUUUGUGGGGUGCUCGAUUGGCGAACGGGUGAGUAACACGUGAGUAACCUGCCCUUGACUUUGUGAUAACUUCAGGAAACUGUGGCUAAUACCGGAUAGGAGCUCCUGCUGCAUUGUGUGGGUUGGAAAGUUUCGGCGGUUGGGGAUGGACUCGCGGCUUAUCAGCUUGUUGGUGGGGUAGUUGCUUACCAAGUCUUUGACGGGUAGCCGGCCUGAGAGGGUGAACGGCGAAAAUGGGACUGAGAUAGGGAACAGAGUACUACGGGAGGCAGCAGUGGGGAAUAUUGAAAAAUGGGAGGAAGCCUGAUGAAGAAACGCAGCGUGCGGGAUGAAGGCCUUAGGGUUGUAAAAAGAUUUAGCAUGUGACGAAGAGUGAGUGACGGUAAUGGGUAAAGAAGCAACGGCUAACUACGUG
rnacentral:rRNA from 1 species